GGGGAUUAGCUGGGUAGCAUACUCGGCUAUGAGACCGGCAAACGGGUGCGGAACACGUACGCAACCUUCCCAAAACUGGUGAAUAGCCCUCCGAAAGGAGGAUUAAUACACCGUAACAUAAUGAUGUGGCAUCACAUUAUUAUUAUAGCUCCGGCGGUUUUGGAUGGGCGUGCGCCUGAUUAGGUAGUUGGCGGGGUAACGGCCCACCAAGCCUGCGAUCAGUAGCUGGUGUGAGAGCACGACCAGUCACACGGGCACUGAGACACGGGCCCGACUCCUACGGGAGGCAGCAGUAAGGAAUAUUGGUCAAUGGACGCAAGUCUGAACCAGCCAUGCCGCGUGAAGGAUGACGGCCCUCUGGGUUGUAAACUUCUUUUAUCUGGGACGAAAAAAGGUCAUUCUUGAUCACUUGACGGUACCAGAGGAAUAAGCACCGGCUAACUCCGUGCCAGCAGCCGCGGUAAUACGGAGGGUGCAAGCGUUAUCCGGAUUUACUGGGUUUAAAGGGUGCGUAGGUGGGUCUGUAAGUCAGUGGUGAAAUCUCCGAGCUUAACUCGGAAACUGCCAUUGAUACUAUAGGUCUUGAAUUAUCUGGAGGUAAGCGGAAUAUGUCAUGUAGCGGUGAAAUGCUUANAUAUGACAUAGAACACCAAUUGCGAAGGCAGCUUACUACGGAUCGAUUGACACUGAGGCACGAAAGCGUGGGGAUCAAACAGGAUUAAAUACCCUGGUAUUCCACGCCCUAAAC
rnacentral:rRNA from 1 species